CUUUGUCAUAGUGUCGUACCUAGGUAGAUCUGCAUAGUGCAUAUUAUGUUGUCUCCGUCUUACUAACGCACAAUAUUUAUAGGUUCAGCAGUUCCAGUUUUGGAUUGUUAUCUUCAAUAUUAGAAUGAUUUUAAACGAGUAGCUACUACCGCGCGUACAAUAAAUAGUUGUGAAUCAUAUCAAUAUAUCAAGCUGAAUUUGUUUUAUCUUUUUUAAGUUUUUACCGAGAACAUGAUAUUAUGAAAACCACAUAUAGUUUAAUUUAUACCAAUUAUACAAUAUUUAUACCAUAAUUAUAAAAUUUGACAUUACGUCAAU